CGCAUUUUUAGCUUAAAGAAAAAUAGUUGUAAUUUAAAAAUCAAAAUUUUCAAUUAUAAAAAAAUUCUAUUUUUAGCCAAGAGAAAACUAUGUUAUUGAGCGGUUACAAAUAGCUUUUAAAAUUUAAGCUUUCGAUCGCCGAAUUUAGAUGUUUAGUAAAUAUCCUCUCUAUGAAACAGAAGUUCUUAUCUAGAUAGGUAUGCUCCCAACUUCCUCCUCCUCCUGUCCUUCUUCUUCUUCUGAUAUUUUAUGUUCAUGUAUAAUUAUUGGAUUUAAUUUUAGUAUUCUUUGUGACUGACAAUUAAUAUUGUAAAAUUUCUUGGAGUUUUUAGAUUUAUAUGGUGAUAACCCAAUGAUCUGUGUUUAAUGUAAUCUUGAUUCAGUAGCUUGAAUUUAACAAAUUAUACAACUAGUUUUAUCAUAAGUAAUAUCAUAUGAUGUGCCAUGUUAGUGCCGAUUGGAUGGUGUAUUAUUCUUUAUUUUAACUAUAUAUAUGGAGUUUCACAGUACAUGAAAACACUAAUUGGAAUACUUCGUGUAUGUUUUUCUUAUUGAACUUUAAUUGGAGCGUUUGAAUCUCAAUUUUAUGGCUGUUGAUUAUGUCUCUAAUAUUAUUGAGCUCAUAAUUAAUUAUAAAUUUAAUAUUAUUAAGUUGGUAUUCAUUAAUUUUGAAGCUCUUCCAUUCCAUCCCAUGGGUAUCAUUCCUGCUUUUCUGACGGCCGUAAUCAGUGUUACCUCCCUAGCCUACAACGUCGGAAAAGAUACAGGCGCCCACAUCCGGCGAAAAGUUUCAUAUUCUAGGAAUCUCAAGAGGAACUACAAGAACUUGCACUGGCAUGCAACCUACGUCAGACGUUUAAGCACUGACAUUGGUCGUGUGAUCCAUAGACGAGGACUGAAAUCCUUGAAAAUUUAUAGGAGAUGGAGUAGAAGUGUGUCGGAGGCAGUUGGAGAAGCCAAAACAUUAUGCAUCAAAUAUAAACGCACCAAGAAAUCAUGGGUCCUACCGCGAGCAAAUCUCAGCAAAAAAAUGGCAGGCUCCGCAGCAAAAGUUGGGGAACUCGCACAAAAUGGGAAAGAGCUUGCCAAAUUAUUACAGUCCAAUCAUGGCCACAAGAAACGGCAACACACAAAUCACAGUGACACCAAGAAACGGCAAUACACAAGUCACAGCGAUAGGAAACGGCAGCCUACAAGUCAUAACCACGACAAGAAACAUCAGCCUUCAAAUCAUAGAGACAGGAAACAGCAACCCUUAAGUCACAGCGACAAGAAACGGCAGCGCACAAAUCAUAAAUAGAUAGGAAGAAAAAAUUCUCUAAAAAGAUAAGCGCUUUUAGUUCAUUAAUUAGCGCUUAAUGAUCUUUUUAUUUUCCUGAAAAUCUUGAAUAAUUGUUCAAUAAUGAUCUCCACGUUUUUGUUUUCUUGAAUCUGAAUAUGUUCAAUUCGACCCUAUUUGCUACUUUUAACUACUUAUCUCGUGGUGUAAACAAUUAAAAUUAAAAUUAAAAUGGGAAAAAUAUUUUAAUUGACAUAAUAAUGAAAAUUAAAGAAAGUUUGUAAAAUGUGAAACAUAGAAAUUAAAGAAAGAAAAGAAUUUUGAUAAUAAAUAAUUAAAAAAAGAAAGAAAGUUUGUAAAAAAAAAGCAAAAAAAAAUUAGGAGUCCCUUUUUUUUAAAUAAAAAUAAUUAGACUAAUAAUUCAAUAAUUUAAAAACAAUUAAAAUUAAAAUUGAAAAUGCAUUGAGAAAAAUAAUUUGAAUUGACGUAUAUAAUAGAAAGACAAAGUGUGGGAUCCUCAAAAAUAGUUUUAUGACCCUUGAUUAAGUUACUAUUGAGUUAUUUUAGUCCAUUUCCCUUUGAUGGAUUGAGGCCUGUCAAAUCUGCUUUCUGAACUGGAAUAAAGUGGCAAUGAAUCUAGAUUCUCUUCUUAGUGUUGUUUUUAUAUGCAAUUUCUAGAUCUCAUAGGAAUCAAGAAAACUAGUUUCAUGUGAACAAGGUGGGCAGCUUGCUAGCAGCCGAUUCAAGAAAACUAGAACAUGAAAUGGAAUCCUAUAUUUUGUUUUGUCUGUGGAAAGGUGAUAUCACAUGGGUGGUUGGUGGUUACUUCUCUCAUUGCUAGUCAUUAUCCUCGCUGGAAUCACUGUGCUCACAAAAGAAAAGUGAAUUUCCCAGUUCCCAGCUAGUUGGGAUUCCACUUGCUGUGAUUUUGACUUUUACUAUGGAGUAUAUACUUGUUUGAGAUGAUUGGGGUCCAAAGAUCAAUUAGAGUUCCCAAACACUUGCUGAACCAGAGAUACUAAUUCUGACUAGUUAUAAGUUAUUAUUAAAAAGACUACCUGUGGGAUCCUCAAAUUUAGUUUUAUGACUAUUGAUCAAGUUACUGUCGAUCAUUGAUUAGUUGUUUUAGUCCUCCACCCUCUGAUGGAUUGAGGCCUGUGGGAAAGAUUCUAGAUUGUAUGCAAUAGCAUGAUUCUAGAUCUCAUAGGAAUCAGAAAAUUAGUGCCGAUUCAAGAAAGCAGUACAUAGAAUGGAAUCUUAUAUUUUGGUCUGUGGAAAGAUGAUUUGACAUGGUUGCUUGCUUCUCUCAUUGGCAGUCAUUGUCCUCGCUGGAAUCGCUUUGCCCUUCUAGUCAGCUGUCACAAAAGAAAAGUAAAUUUCCCGGCUCCCGGCUAGUUGGGAUUCCACUGGCUGUGAUGUUGACACCCAUACAGGUUUAUGGAUUCUCUUUUCUGUAGAGAGAAUUUUGGUUCAUAUACGUUUCAUGUGAACAACGUGUAUUGUCCCUUCUGCGGAAAAUUUAUGAGUCUAAUUUGAAGGUUGAGCUUAGUUUUUAAUAGGGCAGCACACACUGCUGCUUAUUGAAAAUUCCACUGACAGCGGUUGGCAGAGGAUUCAAACCUGAAUCCCACCACAUGCUUCCGUAACCAUUUUUCAUUUCCUAGUUGGAAAGGUGUGACGGUGUUUCACAGGGAUGUUCGGUUUGAGUUCGAUUUGAGAUUUGCUUAAGGAUAAAAAUUGAAUUAAAAUUUCAAUGCAAUUUCGGUUUGGUUCUUUGUUAUUUCGAUUCUGGUUCAGUACGGUUCUCGAUUCUUCAAUUCCAGUUCGGUCUAGUAGGGUUUCGAUUUGGUUCUCGUUUCUUAAAAC
rnacentral:misc_RNA from 1 species